rnacentral:rRNA from 1 species
GACGAACGCUGGCGGCGUGCUUAACACAUGCAAGUCGAACGCUGAAGCUCAGCUUUUGUUGGGUGGAUGAGUGGCGAACGGGUGAGUAACACGUGAGUAACCUGCCUCCUUCUUUGGGAUAACGCCCGGAAACGGGUGCUAAUACUGGAUAUUCACUGGUCUUCGCAUGGGGGUUGGUGGAAAGGGUUUUUCUGGUGGGGGAUGGGCUCGCGGCCUAUCAGCUUGUUGGUGGGGUGAUGGCCUACCAAGGCUUUGACGGGUAGCCGGCCUGAGAGGGUGACCGGUCACAUUGGGACUGAGAUACGGCCCAGACUCCUACGGGAGGCAGCAGUGGGGAAGAUUGCGCAAUGGGGGCAAGCCUGAUGCAGCGACGCCGCGUGAGGGAUGGAGGCCUUCGGGUUGUGAACCUCUUUCGCUCAUGGUCAAGCCGCAACAAUGGUUGUGGUGAGGGUAGUGGGUAAAGAAGCGCCGGCUAACUACGUG